GCCGAGGAUAGGUUGUACCACUAGGGAAACAAUUAGUUUUGCGAAUGUUUUAUUAUGCAAUUGGCAAAUGACCUCUUUUCAUGCUAAAUAGUUUAGGACUGGGUGUAACAUUUUCAGGUCUGAGCCACUUUACUCUAAAACCUUUGGAUACUCAGAACAAGGGUGAUACUCAUUCAAAGUAAGCAAUGAUUCAAUGAGGAUCAUCAGAAAUGCCUGUUACAC